AAAGAUAGAGAAGUACUUUGGGGAUGUGGUACUUCAAGAUGAGCUUUAUAGGAAAGUAGAGAGUCUAAUAGGCUUAAAUGAGCCAGGAGAGUGUUCUAGACACAAGGACAGCCUGUAUCUUGGAUUAAAAAAAAAAAAAAAAUGGAAUGUUGUAUCUGAGGGAGAGUCAAUAGGAAAAUAUAGAAAGCACCUUUUUCACAGUGAGAAAAUUUGUUUUUUCUUUUUUUUAAAUCUGCAUUUUAUUCUAUGGACUAUACAUUAAAGAGGAGGAGUGGGGCUAAUCUAACUUGCUUCUUGUUGAAUAGAAGUAGCAUCUCUAAUGAAAAUUACAUGAAGCUGAGGAGCAGCAGGUGGCAGCAGUGAGAAUUGCCUAGCAGGAGGGAGCAGCUGAGAUAUAAUGUCUGGACAGGGGCAGCUCAACAGAGAGGAGGGCAUUACCAGUAAACAAUAGUGCCCCUGCAUCCUUGGAGAAAAAAUGAAUGAAGAUUUUAGUCAGAGCCCUGACCACAACUCCAGUCCAAACAAGAAAACCAUCCAGAGUCUGAAAAAUUCAGGACUCGUAGGUAGGAGCCGAACUAAGAAGGUUGCCCUUCCGCCCCUCUAUUUUUCCUUCUAAAACCAAACUUUAAAACAGCAGCAACAACACUAUAGUGAAAAAAAAAAAUCCACUUAAAACUGGAUCCCUACGGAGGAUUUCCCCAGCACCACAGGACCGCAGGCUGAGAAGAAUCCCCCGGAGAGUAGAUUAAAUGGGGCAGAGGAUUCGAGAUGAAGUGCGGAUCGAGCUGAACCAGGAGUGCAAACUGGAUCUCUCCGAAGGGAAGAGAUGCUUUUUUCAGGUCGAGAGGCUGCUGGGGAAAGUCCAAGGCCUUGAGAAUGGAGUCUCAAUCUGAAGAAGGAAAAGAAUGAGAAGAAAAAGAACAAGAAGAAGAAAAAAGAGGAUUGUUUACUAUAUAUGUUCCGCAUUGAGUAUUUGGGGCACAAAUGCAGGCAAAAUAAAAAAGUUGUUCCUGCCUGUAAAGAGUUUAAAUUUGAAUAGGGGAAGAUCUCAACAAAAGGAAGAUGAAAGAUGGGGAUGAGAGAUGGCAGGGGAAGGGAGAAAGAUAACAGUGUCUGGAUCAUAGUGAUGAAAUCUGAGAAUGAUGGAUGGGGUUUCUUCAAAGUGAAAGGUCCAGGAAGAAUUCAUCAAAGAGAAAACGAGGCCUUGGGAGUGAAGAAAAAAGACAUGGUGGCAAAUUCCAGAGGAAAAAGUCAUGUAGAACCUCAGAGCUGGGAGGUCCCUCAGAUGUCAUCUUGUAUAAUUUGUAUUUAAAACAGGAAUAGCCUUUGCAAUAUUCUGGAAAAAUGGUCAUCCAGAAUCUACCUGAUGAGCUUCAAUGAAGGGUGAUACCCACUCCUUCCUCACCUAGAGCUAGGAGAAGAUUCUCUAUUGAAUAUAACUAAACACUUUUUUCCACUUUUUUAUAAGGAUAUCCUUUGCUCAGAACCUUAGAUUCACUAAUAAUAACUAAGGGAACUGAGAAAAGGAAAAACAAUUAGAGAAAGAUGUUUCAGGAAAAUGAAACAGAAUCAGAGAAAUUCAUUCCCUAUAUCUGAAAGACUUCAAGACUCUGGUGAGGAAGGACAUGUCUUGGGACACUGUGAGACAAUUUUAAAUAAGAUUUUGAAUUCCAUUAUUUUCUUCCUUCUCCCUCUUUCCUAAGAUGUAUGCAAUUUGAUAUAGAUUAUAUAUGUGCAAUCAUAUAAAAUAUUUCCAUAGCCAUGUUAUCAAAAAACAGAACAAAAGAUAAAAAAAGCUAUCAAAAAAUAAAGUGAAAAUACUAUGCUUUGAUCUGUAUUCAGACUCUAUCAGUUCUUUUUCUGGAUGUGAAUAGCAUUUUCUAUUAUGAGUUUUUUGGAAUUUGACCCACAUCUUGAAGGAAAAGUUUGGUUGAACACAAUAGAGC